rnacentral:rRNA from 1 species
UACGUAGGGUGCAAGCGUUGUCCGGAAUUAUUGGGCGUAAAGAGCUCGUAGGCGGUCUGUCGCGUCGGCUGUGAAAUCCCGAGGCUCAACCUCGGGUCUGCAGUCGAUACGGGCAAACUGGAGUGUUGCAGGGGAGACUGGAAUUCCUGGUGUAGCGGUGAAAUGCGCAGAUAUCAGGAGGAACACCGGUGGCGAAGGCGGGUCUCUGGGCAACAACUGACGCUGAGGCGCGAAAGCGUGGGGAGCAAACAGG